rnacentral:rRNA from 1 species
UGGGGAAUUUUGGACAAUGGGCGAAAGCCUGAUCCAGCAAUGCCGCGUGUGUGAAGAAGGCCUUCGGGUUGUAAAGCACUUUUGUCCGGAAAGAAAUCCUUGGCUCUAAUACAGUCGGGGGAUGACGGUACCGGAAGAAUAAGCACCGGCUAACUACGUGCCAGCAGCCGCGGUAAUACGUAGGGUGCAAGCGUUAAUCGGAAUUACUGGGCGUAAAGCGUGCGCAGGCGGUUUGCUAAGACCGAUGUGAAAUCCCCGGGCUAACCUGGGAACUGCAUUGGUGACUGGCAGGCUAGAGUAUGGCAGAGGGGGGUUAGAAUUCCACGUGUAGCAGUGAAAUGCGUAGAGAUGUGGAGGAAUACCGAUGGCGAAGGCAGCCCCCUGGGCCAAUACUGACGCUCAUGCACGAAAGCGUGGGGAGCAAACAGGAUUAGAUACCCUGGUAGUCCACGCCCUAAACGAUGUCAACUAGUUGUUGGGGAUUCAUUUCCUUAGUAACGUAGCUAACGCGUGAAGUUGACCGCCUGGGGAGUACGGUCGCAAGAUUAAAACUUAAAUGAAUUGAC